rnacentral:rRNA from 1 species
CCAAUAGCGUAUAUUAAAGUUGUUGCAGUUAAAAAGCUCGUAGUUGAAUUUCGGGGUUAGUAGGCUGGUCAUGCCUCUGGUAUGUACUGGUCUCACUGAUUCCUCCUUCCUGAUGAGCCGUAAUGCCAUUAAUCUGGGGUUGCGGGGAAUUUGGACUGUUACUUUGAAAAAAUUAGAGUGUUUAACGCAAGCGAAAGCUUGAAUACAUUAGCAUGGAAUAAUGAAAUAGGACGUUCGAUCCUAUUUUGUUGGUUUCUAGGAUUGACGUAAUGAUUAAUAGGGAUAGUUGGGGGCAUUAGUAUUCAAUUGUCAGAGGUGAAAUUCUUGGAUUUAUUGAAGACUAACUACUGCGAAAGCAUUUGCCAAGGAUGUUUUCAUUAAUCAAGAACGAAAGUUAGGGGAUCGAAGACGAUCAGAUACCGUCGUAGUCUUAACCAUAAACUAUGCCGACUAGGGAUCGGAUGAUGUUAAUUUUUUAAUGACUCAUUCGGCGCCUUACG